rnacentral:lncRNA from 1 species
GAGCCUUCCAGAGCAGCCUCCAGACUGUGGGAGGUUCAGCCUCGUGUUUGGAUGUCGUCCACUGUAGAAGUAAGAGCCACCCACGGAGAUCUGCUCUAAUUUUAAACUUUCCAGGAGCGUUCAGAGGAUUUGAUGGAGAUUCUCAGUUGGAGGGGAGGUUGAAGUAGAGGGAUAGAAUAUACACAUGGGCUCCUUGGCCAGAUAAAUACCAUCCUAGCAGGGAAGGCCCAUCCUGAUAUAAACACAUAUGUUCUUUUGCAGAUAUUCACCGGGGCUAUUUCCAUCUGAUGACUUACACUGAAAAAGCAGAGGCUGUGAAGCAGAUUAGAGCUGAGAUUCCUGCUUAGCCUGGCUCAAAAUUCCUAGAAAGUUGAGGAGAAGUUGCUCAGGAGAGUGGUCUCUGUGCGUCAGCGUGUUCCUGGCCAGGCUCCAGGACUGGAUGUAUCAAGUUUCUGCCUGUGUUAUUUGCACGUGGUUUCAGAUUUGGGAGGAAAAGCCCUUCCUCCCACGACACAGCUCCAGCCUGUGCUGGGUUUUCCCAGCAAAUUGGAAAGGAUUUUAAGAAGCAUAAAUCUCAUUUGGAGCGCUAAGGAAAGCCAACUUCAGGUUUGAAGUCCCUGUAGCCAGUUUUGAUGCACCCCUUUUGUAUUCCCUUCAAACUUUGGUGUCUAAAUAACUUCCUUUGCAGCUGAAGUUUGAUAUCGGCGGUCGCUUUUCCGUUUGCCUGGGUGUCUCAUGGAUCAAUGACUUUCCAUCCCCGGUGUCUAUCUCUUAUUUCAGUCGUUUGUCACACGAAACAACUGCUUUAUAUUUCCACAUCUUGAGUGUUCACCCCAUUGAACUGACCUUCUCAGCUGUUUGACCUGUGCUUGACUUGUUUCCAUCACUGGUGCGAGGAAACGGCUGAGUCAGCAUUAAAUAUAUUUAGGGAGGCGAUUAAAGCUUUAUUUUGAAACCCUCUCGCUCUCCCUGGUUGCACUCCCUGUUAUUGUUGAGGUUUUUCAUGCGUGUCGACCACGGCCAGCUUCCACCCUUGUCCUCGAUCA